rnacentral:rRNA from 1 species
UUCUGACCGUAAACGAUGCCAACUAGCGAUUCGGCGGUGGCUACAAGGCCCUGCUGAGGAGCUUCCCGGAAACGAAAGUCUUCCGGUUCCGGGGGAAGUAUGGUUGCAAAGCUGAAACUUAAAGGAAUUGACGGAAGGGCACCACCAGGAGUGGAGCCUGCGGCUUAAUUUGACUCAACACGGGAAAACUCACCCGGCCCGGACACCGUAAGGAUUGACAGAUUGAUAGCUUUUUCAUGAUUCGGUGGUUGGUGGUGCAUGGCCGUUCUUAGUUCGUGGAUCGAUUUGUCUGGUUUAUUCCGAUAACGAGCGAGACUCCAGCCUACUAACUAGUACGAGCAUUGCCUCUGUGCUCGGCACUUCUUAGAGGGAUUGACUGCGUCUAGCGGUACGAAACGGAGCAAUAACAGGUCUGUGAUGCCCUUAGAUGUCCGGGGCUGCACGCGCGCUACACUGGCAAAGGCAACGUGCUUGUCCGUCUCCGAAAGGAGCCGGUAAACCCUUGAAAAUUUGCCGUGAUUGGGAUCGGAAAUAGCAAUUAUUUUCCGUGGACCAGGAAUUCCGAGUAAGUCCGAGUCAUCCGCUCGCGUUG